UGGACAGAUUAUUGUAUUCGACUGUAUUCACGGCGUAAAAUAGGGGAUUACACUAUUUUUAAAACGGAAAGUGAAUCAAUUAACAUAAUAGACUCCU
rnacentral:pre_miRNA from 1 species